GGGCCGUUAGCUCAGUCGGUAGAGCAGUGGACUUUUAAUCCAUUGGUCGAAGGUUCGAAUCCUUCACGGCCCACCA
rnacentral:tRNA from 1 species